CUCCGGGCCGGGCCCCGCGGUCUACGGAAGCCACCUGAAUGAUCAAGAGAUCGUGAGGCCUCCCCGUUCUAUCGCCCCGCUCAGCCUCGGGCAGCUGCUGCUUCUCUCUGCCUGGGAUCCUGCGGGCUGCAUCGCAGAACAGCUGAAACUGGAAGGAACCUGUGGAGAUCACGCAGUCCAACCCCUCUGCCAAGGCAGGAUCACCCAGAGCAGGUCCUACAAUGCUCCCCUAUGCUCCCUCAGCAGAUACCAUGACAAGAACGGACUACAAUGUUCUGGAAGCUCUGCUUCAUCUCAGGCCACUGAUCUCCUGCCAUGGGCCUGCAAACAACCCCAAAUUAAGAAAACUCAUCCCAGGGAGCAGAAGACACCUGACUCUGGAGCAGCAAAAGCAGAGAUGGUUAGUGUAGAGAGUUAAUCUCUCUAUUGUCCACACACACAGUGUGUUCCCAGUUUAUGUCACCCCCAUAAUCACUUCUGCACUG